GUGAGCCUCCUCUUGUACUAACAUUUUGUGCGACAGCGGUGACUGAUGACGAAAGUAUAAUAUUCUAAAGAGAAUGGGUGCGAAAAGCUAGAUUUCACAAGGUGAAUAGACACAAGGUGAAUAGACACAAGGGAAUGUAGUAUGGACAUCCGGGAAUGUAGUAUGGACAUCCGGGAACUUGUAUUGGGCUGUCUUUUUUAACAGCAGUCAUUCUCGAAAUAGAUCGACUUGAGAUAAUUAACAGCAAGACCGGCUGAGCGCGUGCUAAGAACGCAGUUACUUGCAGUGGCGUAGGAAGAUGUUCACAAGCGGAGGAGGGAAUGUAGAGUCCCGGAUCUGAUCUCGGACAUUUCCUAAUCUCGGUCACUCGUUCUCUGCCAAAUAGCUGCAGCCAGACCUAGCUGCUACGCUAGCGUCAUAGUCCUACUGGAUAGCAACUAGGUAGAGCGGGCCACGUCAGCAUCCGUCGUAACGUUGCUGCUGUAGAACUUGAAAACUGAUCGCACCUAUUCUCGGUCACAGAGUAUCAUACCUCGGCUCCUUAAAUGACUUCCUUUCGCCAAAUUUUUGGUUUUGUCUUGUCAACAUCUACUCGCGCAGACAACGAGGAAGACGGAUGACUCACGGGACAUAAUCUCGGUCACCUGAUCUCGAGUGAUUUUCUCUCUUCAAACGUAGAUCUGAGGCGUUCUUUUGGCUCAUGUUAUAGUCAUCACCGCUGGCUACCAUACCUACGGGGUGACGUUAGUGCUCAUCGUACUGUUGCUACGGCAGAACGUGAAAUGUGAGAGACAAAUACUCGGACAUCCGGGAUCAUAUCUCGGUCAGUCGCUUUCGUCGCGUUUCUACAAGACGAAUUGAGACGUUAGCCAUGUCUGUUGAAAGGGCAGUGAGAAAGGUGAUGGCGUACGGGACAUAAUCUCGGUCACGCGAGUUUGAGAAAGAUGGGUUCCUGAGUAGGUUGUAUUGUGUGAUUUUUAGUCUACUGUUGUUCUAGAGCUAUAUUGUCACGAAUGUGUGUAUUUAACUUACUAUUUUCAGGACUUCAAACAUGCAACGUGCUGACUCUGAAUUUUCACGUUUUUGUUAGCAGUUAGCCAGAGAGUAUUCCUACCUGUUUCUACAUUCUUGACUGGCAGAUAUAAUGAUUCUUUAUCUUGGAUGGGAUGAUUGAUGAUUUUAUCAAGUAGAAUUGCACACAAACUGCUUUUUACUUUUAUCCCUAGGAGAGUUAUGCUGAGAACUUAUGAAAAUGGUGACAUUGUUGCC